UACGUAGGGUGCGCGCGUUAAUCGGAAUUACUGGGCGUAAAGUGUGCGCAGGCGGCCGCGCAAGUCGAGUGUGAAAGCCCCGAGCUUAACUUGGGAAUUGCGCUCGAAACUACGUGGCUGGAGUGUGGCAGAGGAAGGUGGAAUUCCACGUGUAGCGGUGAAAUGCGUAGAGAUGUGGAGGAACACCAAUGGCGAAGGCAGCCUUCUGGGCCAACACUGACGCUCAUGCACGAAAGCGUGGGGAGCGAACAGG
rnacentral:rRNA from 1 species